rnacentral:rRNA from 1 species
GAAUCUUGCGCAAUGGGCGAAAGCCUGACGCAGCAACGCCGCGUGGGGGAUGAAGGCCUUCGGGUUGUAAACCCCUUUCAGGAGGGAAGAAAUUGACGGUACCUCCAAAAGAAGGACCGGCCAACUACGUGCCAGCAGCCGCGGUAAUACGUAGGGUCCGAGCGUUAUCCGGAAUCAUUGGGCGUAAAGAGCUCGUAGGCGGUUCAGCAAGUCGGCUGUGAAAGUCUGAGGCUCAACCUCAGAAUUGCAGUCGAUACUGCUGUGACUCGAGUCCGGUAGAGGAGAAUGGAAUUCUCGGUGUAGCGGUGAAAUGCGCAGAUAUCGAGAGGAACACCAGUAGCGAAGGCGGUUCUCUGGGCCGGCACUGACGCUGAGGAGCGAAAGCGUGGGGAGCAAACAG